GACGAACGCUGGCGGCGUGCUUAACACAUGCAAGUCGAACGGAAAGGCCCUGCUUUUGUGGGGUGCUCGAGUGGCGAACGGGUGAGUAACACGCGAGUAACCUGCCCUUGACUUUGGGAUAACUUCAGGAAACUGGGGUUAAUACCGGAUAGGAGCUCCUGCUGCAUGGUGGGGGAUGGAAAGUUUCGGCGGUUGGGGAUGGACGCGCGGCUUAUCAGCUUGUUGGUGGGGUAGUGGCUUACCAAGGCUCUGACGAGUAGCCGGCCUGAGAGGGUGACCGGCCACAUUGGGACUGGGAUACGGCCCAGACUCCUACGGGGGGCAGCAGUGGGGGAUAGUGCACGAUGGGCGGAAGCCUGAUGCAGCAACGCCGCGUGCGAGAUGACGGCCUUCAGGGUGGAAACCGCUUUCGCCUGUGACGAAGCGUAAGUGACGGUAAUGAGUAAAGAAGCACCGGCUAACUACGUG
rnacentral:rRNA from 1 species